GCCUUCGUGGUGUAACGGUUAGCACACUCGGCGCGUAUUCGAGAGGUCCAGGUACGAAUCUCGGCGAGGGCA
rnacentral:tRNA from 1 species